rnacentral:rRNA from 1 species
AACGAACGCUGGCGGCAGGCUUAACACAUGCAAGUCGAACGCAUCCUUCGGGGUGAGUGGCAGACGGGUGAGUAACGCGUGGGAACGUGCCCUUCAGUUCGGGAUAACCCAGGGAAACUUGGGCUAAUACCGGAUACGUGCGCGAGCAGAAAGGUUUAUCGCUGAAGGAUCGGCCCGCGUCUGAUUAGCUAGUUGGUGGGGUAAUGGCCCACCAAGGCGACGAUCAGUAGCUGGUCUGAGAGGAUGAGCAGCCACAUUGGGACUGAGACACGGCACAAACUCCUACGGGAGGGAGCAGUGGGGAAUAUUGGACAAUGGGCGCAAGCCUGAUCCAGCCAUGCCGCGUGAGUGAUGAAGGCCUUAGGGUUGUAAAGCUCUUUCGUCCGGGACGAUAAUGACGGUACCGGAAGAAGAAGCCCCGGCUAACUUCGUGCCAGCCGCCGCAGUAA